rnacentral:rRNA from 1 species
CCUACGGGCGGCAGCAGUGAGGAAUAUUGGUCAAUGGGCGCUAGCCUGAACCAGCCAAGUAGCGUGAAGGAUUACUGCCCUAUGGGUUGUAAACUUCUUUUAUAUGGGAAUAAAGUGCAGUAUGUAUACUGCUUUGCAUGUACCUUAUGAAUAAGGAUCGGCUAACUCCGUGCCAGCAGCCGCGGUAAUACGGAGGAUCCGAGGGUUAUCCGGAUUUUUUGGGUUUAAAGGGAGCGUAGGCGGGUUGUUAAGUCAGUUGCGAAAGUUUGCGGCUCAACCGUAAAAUUGCAGUUGAUACUGGCAACCUUGAGUACAGGAGAGGUAGGCGGAAUUCGUGGUGUAGCGGUGAAAUGCUUAGAUAUCACGAAGAACUCCGAUUGCGAAGGCAGCCUGCUGGACUGUAACUGACGCUGAUGCUCGAAAGUGUGGGUAUCAAACAGGAUUAGAUACCCUUGUAGUC